rnacentral:ncRNA from 3 species
UCUUGAAAAAGGCAUACUCAUUGUGAAAUGAGGACGCAAAGCUAUGGGUCUUUGAUGAAGAUCGCCAAGCUACCAAG